rnacentral:rRNA from 1 species
GCUUGUCUCAAAGAUUAAGCCGACGAACAGCGCAAGAUUCGCCGCAAUCAGCCGCGCGUCUCGUUAGAAGAGGCGCGCAGACAAUUCGAGAGGGUUCAACGCGGAUCAGUCAGUAUAGGGCAGAAUGCCUUGCGCUCCUAGAGUGGGCUGAAAGGCUGAGCCUCAUUCUUCCUCCAGGCUAUCUGGACCAAUUCAAGUAUGUUGGCCAAGGUGCCGAGCAUCAGGUCUAUAGAUCUGCGGUUGUCCAGGAUGUAGCGAUAAAGUCCACCCAUCCAAAUCGUUUCGGGUAUUCAACUUCCAAGGAAGGCAGCAGG